AAGAUGUCGGCCUGCAACCUUCAGGCUGCCUAAUUUGAACAGCUUCUACUUUGACCACGGAUGUACUGGCAUUGUUGGAAGCUAGUUUUUGAAAAGGCCGGACAUUUGUCCGGCCUUUUUCAUU
rnacentral:sRNA from 1 species